CUUCCGGCAAUGAAAAUGCUUAUUCACCUUGGCUAAGGAACUUAGCAGAAGGUUUGUAUUAGCUACGUAUUUAAAGUGGAAUUGAAGAUUAAGCCAAAUAUUACAGUUUUACAAGCUUAAAACACGGGUAACAUGCUAAACAUUCAACUAUUCUAGUGAAGUACAUCAAGCAUAUCCAAAGAGCUGAACGGACCCAUAUCUUAAAUUAUUUGAUAGAAAAAUCUGCAUUGCAAAAUUUAAGGGUUACCUGGAUCGCAGAAUUACAAAAAUACAGCACUAGAAUGAGCAAGAAUAGCAGCAGAAACAGCAAUUAAGACAGCAGCAACUCAGUGUUAAGAUAACCCAGAAUACUCAACAAGGGUGCUUGAAACUAGUAGCUAACAACUUCAUGAAUUUCCCAAGAGAUUCUUCUAUUUUUCUCAAUGAUUUUUGCACUCUAAGAAACACUCGCUAAGCUCAGAAUUUUCAGCUUACUAUUUGGAUGUUCAGCUACUCUUUUUUACUCUCAAAAUUGUAUUCUUUUUGCUAAGUGUGUAGGAAGUGUAUUUUUUAGAGUCCCAAGAUCUUUUUCAAAUGAGAAAAGAACUCUUCUUUUUAUAGGGGGAGGAAGGAUCUUGGGACAGAUUUGUUUGGCCAAAAAUCUAUCCAAAAUGAUAGAUUUUUGACCAAAAAUCUGUCCAAAACCAGAAUUUUGGUCAAUGAACAGUUAUUCUUACCAAUUGUGGACAGAAUUUUGGAGUAUUGUACUCCAAAACAGUCCGCAACAGUAAAAGCAAUCAAACCAAGAACCCUAUACUCAAGUAUUCUCUUUUCUUUCCCUUUCCUCUUAAUUUCUCAAACCAAAUUCAAAGUUAACUAGUCUACAAAGAGAAACCAGAUUCAAUUUAGUUGAAACAAAUAGUAAUUCGAAUAAGAUUAGUUAAGAGUCAAUUAGUAGGAAUUAAUCAAGACUGAACCAUAUAAUUACCUAUACUACACAACUACUUCAAUCUUAAUCAGGUUAAUUAGAACUAAAAUAGGAUAUUUGAACACACAAACUACUAACUCAAACUAAAACAUGACAAUGUAGGAAAGACAAACUCGAAAACUGCAAUCCAAUAGGUGAUUCAAGCUUGACAACUGAACGAAAUCAAUACAACUCAACCAUACUAACUAAACGAUUGUUCUAGAUUAUUAGAAAGAGCAAUUAUUCAGCUAAUCACAAAGUUAAAUUACAUGUCAAGCUACUGAAACAACAAACAAGAAACUAAACGAAUAUUCUUUGCGAAAUUGAACUACUGCUUCAAACUAGUAAGAUACAAAAAUCAAAUAAUCGAAGCUAAACUUUUAACUACCAAUACUAAUCAAACUUGGACGAUUAUAAUUAAGCAAAAAAAAUCAGAAACGAUAUUAUACGAAGUAGUCGAUCGAUUAUUAUAACUUAAACUUAAACAAAACUAUCAAAUCAAAUAAGAAAAACUAAAAAUCUAAGAAAAGAGAAAGGGAUUAGGAAUUUUACCAAGCUCGAGCACUCGGGUAAUGGCGGGACAGUGGCAGUGGUGGACUCGAGUGAGUGUCUAAUGUCGAUUAUUAUCGAAACCAUGACUCCGGAGAAUUGGAUGCUAGUUUCAAUGACAAUCGACAACAAAAACUCGCUUGAAGACGAUGAGAAGAGAGAAAUGGGAGGCAGUGGCAGUUGAGGGGCGGCAGUGACGGUGGCGGAUCGGCAGUGGGGGUCGCCGGAAUUUUGGGUUAAGACCAAUGCCAAAUGGUCAUUGCUGAGCUCUAUCUAUGUAUGUAAAAAUUAAGUGGAUAAAAGGGCUCAAUAUUCUCAAAUUUAUGAAAAACGUUACAUCUAGGGUUUUGAAUUUUCUUAGAUUUAUGGAGAUUGAGGAGGAUUCGAGGGAUUCAGGGCUUGGAUUAGGGUAGAGGAGGAGGAGAUGAAGAGAUUGACGUUGGUUGGAAGGUUUUUGGCCACCAGAGGACGGCGGCACCACUGUGGGAGACGGGAAGCAGCGGUGGAGGAAGAGAGAGUGAAGAGGGAGAAGCUAAGGUUUGGGGUUAUGGGAGAAAUUG
rnacentral:lncRNA from 1 species